rnacentral:sRNA from 1 species
CAUUGAAAAAAUAAAUGCAAACCAAAACAAAACACUUACAUUUCUUGUUAAAUCACUUGUCUGUUUGGAUCACACCAUC